rnacentral:rRNA from 1 species
AACUCAAAGGAAUUGACGGGGACUCGCACAAGCGGUGGAGCAUGUGGUUUAAUUCGAAGCAACGCGAAGAACCUUACCAAGUCUUGACAUCCCCCUGGAUGGCGAGCAAAGUCGCCAGGCCUACGGGACAGGGGAGACAGGUGGUGCAUGGUUGUCGUCAGCUCGUGUCGUGAGAUGUUGGGUUAAGUCCCGCAACGAGCGCAACCCUUAUCCUCAGUAGCCAGCGAGCAGAGUCGGGCACUCUGGGGAGACUGCCAGGGACAACCUGGAGGAAGGCGGGGACGACGUCAAAUCAUCAUGCCCCUUAUGAUUUGGGCUACACACGUGCUACAAUGGCGUAAACAAAGGGAGGCGAGAUGGCGACAUGGAGCGAACCCCAAAAAUAACGUCCCAGUUCGGAUUGUAGUCUGCAACCCGACUACAUGAAGCUGGAAUCGCUAGUAAUCGCGGAUCAGAAUGCCGCGGUGAAUACGUUCCCGGGUCUUGUACACACCGCCCGUCACACCAUGGGAGUCAGUAACGCCCGAAGUCAGUGACCCAACCGAGAGGAGGGAGCUGCCGAAGGCGGGACGGAUAACUGGGGUGAAGUCGUAACAAGGUAGCCGU